AUUGAACGCUGGCGGCAGGCCUAACACAUGCAAGUCGAGCGAGCGGCGGACGGGUGUGUAAUGUCUGGGAAACUGCUCGAUGGAGGGGGAUAACUACUGGAAACGGUAGCUAAUACCGCAUACCUUCAGAUGUGCCCAUAUGGGAUUAUCUAGUAGGUGGGGUAAUGGCUCACCUCGGCGACGAUCCCUAGCUGGUCUGAGAGGAUGACCAGCCACACGGGAAAUGAUACGCGGUCCAGACUCCGACGGUAGGCAGCAUUGGGGAAUAUUGCACAAUGGGCGCAAGCCUGAUGCAGCCAUGCAGCUUGUUUGAAGAAGGCCUUCGGGUUGUAAAGCACUUUCAGCGGGGAGGUGUUGCCCGCAGGAGAAGCACCGGCUAACUCCGUGCCAGCAGCCGCGGUAAUUC
rnacentral:rRNA from 1 species